AAUAAGAAACUCUCUAAAAUCACAGUUCUAUAAUUGCAUUGGUUUAAUUACAAUUUUUAGGGGCGAUGAGGUGGCCUAGUCCAACAGAUGUGAGAGCAACAGAGGAACCAUUACAUCUGCACAAAUUAAAUUCGUCAGAAAAUUGCAUCCGAUGAGGAGAUUCGAGGUUCCACUUGAAUAUACGGUCAAAACCUUAUCGGUAUGAGAUUCAGUUACGUUUACUGCACCUGAUAAAAAACACGUCAAACUGGGCCGUUAUUAUUAAUGGCAAGAAGCCAAGGACGGCUGGUUCCAAGAAGUUGAUUUAUGAACUGCGGGGAUUUCAGGCAUUGCAUAACUGUGAACGUUAUUGGCCAUUACACGGAAAUGGUUUGGGCUGAAACUACCCACGUUGGCUGUGUAGUUAUUGGAUACUAAAACGAUUAUGCAACGGAAAUCAUUUCACGCUGGGAUAACCUAACCAACAGUUUGACAUUUGCAAUUACAGUGUCCUCAUGGAAAUGCUCCGAAUAAAUCAGUCUACAAGAUGGAUUGAACUGUAACGAUUAAUACACGAUAACUCUGACGCGAUCAGCCGCGUUCGAAUAAGUCGACGUCGAAAUUGAUUAACAUCAACGCAACUGUAGAUCGAAAUUUACAUAUAGAAAUCUGAUGUUGGUUACUAUAGCGGUUUCUGGGUUCGCCAAUUUUUUCUUAUAACUAGCUUGUUUGUUGUUGUUUCUUUUCACCAUGUUUUUUUCUCACCUCAGGGAAUAGGAGAGUUUUUCGUUGAUGCGGAAUUUAUUUUUUUUUAAAUAGUGAAGCAAUACCUCCAGGCGUUACCUUUUACAGACUUUGUGGUAUAAAAUAAGCACCAGGCAUAAUCUCUCCGUCAUUUUGACUAAAACGAAAAUCGUGAAAUGUUGUCCCAGACUUUGUUGUUCGGAGCUCUUCUUUUGUCGUUUCUGAGGUUGCAGAUCAGCUGGAAGUAGUACACGCCUUUUCGGAAGAAGGAAGAAAAGUUAACCAUCGUUACAUGAUGGGACUUCGCGCCAAUUUUCGCCGAAGGAUUACAUAUCUCAACAACUUGAUUUCGGACAAAGAAUUGCCUAAAAAAUCAACCAGAACCGCUGGCAAAUGGAUUAGGUACAGUUUUCCAAUCGUUUUGAUUGGCUAUCUUGAUUACUUUGUUGGCGGAAUACAACCUCCACAGCAGUAUGAGAAGUAGAUCCUUACUCCGUUACGUAUAAUGUGUGGUUAAUCAAAUGUAUUAUACUGUUACUAUUUGUAUUGUGAUUUAAAAGUACCUAACAUGCCUGCCAAAAUAUGUCAACCAUGAAACUGUUCAUCAACAUACAAAUAUAAAUUUGAAAAAAA